rnacentral:rRNA from 1 species
GACGAACGCUGGCGGCGUGCCUAAUACAUGCAAGUCGAACGCAGUGGGGCAGGGGGAGUAACACGUGGGUAACCUACCAUCAGAGGGGAGAACACUUGGAAACAGGUGCUAAACCGAUAGUGAUGGAUGGCACAGCGGUGAAUGAGCUAGUUGGUGAGGUAACGGCGCACCAAGGCACGGAUGCAGAGCCGACCUGCGAGGGUGAUGUGCCACACUGGGACUCAAACACGGCCCAGACUCCUACGGGAGGCAGCAGUAGGGAAGCUUCGGCAAUGGACGAAAGUCUGACCGAGCAACGCCGCGUGAGUGAAGAAGGUUUUCGGAUCGUAAAACUCUGUUGUUAGAGAGGCGGUAUCUAACCAGAAAGCCACGGCUAACUACGUGCCAGCAGCCGCGGUAAUUC